GUGGCGUGCGGGCAGCGGCCAUGGAGCGGUGCCGCGUCGUCGACGAGGGCGCCGCUAAUUGGGAGCUGCCUCUCCCCGGCUUUCCCGAGGGUCCUGGGCCGGCCGACGGCGACGCUCCCGGCCCCGCAGACGGGACGUGCGCCGGCCUCGACGCCCUCCCCGGCCUCCCGGCAGAGCCCGGCGGUGCUCUGGAGGCCGACCUGAGCGCGCUCUCCCUGUACCUGGCCGAGCCCCCCCAGCACGAACUCGUGCUCCCCGCGGCGGAGGACGCGCAGUGCCGGUGCGGCUGCCCCGGGACCUCACCUCCAGCCUGUGGCUGCCGCGGGAAGGCGGUCGGCGGUGAGCACGGCGUGACGCACGGCCAGCGCGCCUGCCCCGUCUGCAGCGAGGCGCUCCAGCGGCACGACCACCGGAGCGGGCAGCCGCCGACGCACCAGGCGCCCGCGCCCCUCGCCUGCCCCGAGAGCGACCGCGACCAGCGCUCGCUGCGCCGCCACCGCGAGCUGCGGCACGGCCUCGGCGGCUCCAGGCGGCCUCGCGACGGAGACACCGGCGAGGC
rnacentral:lncRNA from 1 species